rnacentral:misc_RNA from 1 species
GAUUAAUGAACGGUGUUUAUGGCUAUACUGGCAUUGAAAUCCUGACUCAUCCACUCUUGACCUGUGCACUUGUGCUACGUCGAGUCUCUUCAUGGAGAUCGACCUAAUCUACCUUUAUUUUAACUCUUAGUCUGAAAAUAUUAUUGAUAUAACGCAUUCAAUAUA